rnacentral:rRNA from 1 species
AACGAACGCUGGCGGCAUGCCUAACACAUGCAAGUCGAACGAAACCUUCCGGCCUGGUGGGGCAUCGGUGGGUGACCGGGUGGAUCCUGCCCUUGUGAUCUGAAUAACUCCCUGGAAUAGGUCCUGAUACCUGGUAAUGUUAUCGGACCAAAGAUUUAUCGCCUUUGGAUUGGGCCGCAUUGGAUUAGCUAGUUGGUAGGGUAAAAGGCUACCAAGGCGAUGAGCCAUAGCUGGUCUGAGAGGAUGAUCAGCCACAAUGGGACUGAGACACGGCCCAGACUCCUACGGGAGGGAGCAGUGGGGAAUAUUGGACAAUGGGCGAAAGCCUGAUCCAGCAAUGCCGCGUGAGUGAUGAAGGCCUUAGGGUUGUAAAGCUCUUUUACACGGGAUGAUAAUGACAGUACCGGGAGAAUAGGCUCCGGCUAACUCCGUG